rnacentral:rRNA from 1 species
UCGUGAGAUGUUGGGUUAAAUCCCCCAACAAGCGCAACCCCUGUCUCAUGUUGUCAGCACGUAAUGGUGGGGACUCUUGAGAGACUGCCGGGGUCAACUCGGAGGAAGGUGGGGAUGACAUCAAAUCAUCAUGCCCCUUAUGUCUAGGGCUUCACACAUGCUACAAUGGCUAGUACAGAGGGCUGCGAUACCGCGAGGUGGAGCGAAUCCCUUAAAGCUGGUCUCAUUUCGGAUUGGGGUCUGCAACUCGACCCCCUGAAGUCGGAGUCGCUAGUAAUCGCAGAUCACCAACGCUG